CAACGCCGCCGCCACACCUUUCUUCCCCAAGAAAAACCCCACAGAGAGCUCCCUGCCAUGAACGCCGACGACGCCAUGACCUACCUCUCCGGCACCUGAGCGUGGAGAAGCACCAUCGUCCACCUUCUUCGUUGGCCUCUACGUCGACACGGUCCAGGGACGCCAGGAUCUACUCAAGCCCGACCACCUCUGCCUCCCCGUCACGGCCAUCCCGUCUUCCUCGUCGCCGGCGUAUUCCUUCACCUCGUCGGGCACCACCAGGACGCCGAUGCAGAGCAGUACGAGCAGGAGUACGAGUUCCCUCUGGAGGAUCGUGUCGGUGCUUCUACCUCUGAUCUGACAGGCGAGCCCACCCCUUCACCUAUUUUACAUUUUACAUGCUCUUUUGAUCUAUUGUUAUCCUUAUGUUGCGAUUCUGUUGUGUCACGUGUCCUAUCCACCUGUUACCUAUAUGUCCGAGAUACACCUCCUCGCCCUACCUAUUGUUUGUUGUUUUCCAGCUUUGCGAGUCGUAGGCGAGUUUAGGGUUUUUGUUGAUAUCUCGAAAUGUUCGGGAUAUCUUGUUGGGAUGUUGACACAUGUACUACCUUUUUGAAAAUGAAGUGGAUAACUUUUGCUACAACUUAAAAUUGCUAAGGGAUAUAAUAUGCAGAGGCAUCUGUGAGCCCCUUUGCGAAAGCAUCGGAACUUUGACUUGCUAAUGUCCCCUAGGACCCGAGUUCUUGUUAUCUGUUUCUAAGACUGAGCGCGCUAACCACUCGUGGGAGGUUUUAUCGGGACCCCCCAUCACCCAUUACCAUUUCUCAAGUCUGUUGAAAAGGGGGCCACAACCUUGGUUUUAUUUGCCUAUGCCAUUUAUGCCAUGCUUUACUUACUGUUGCCUUCGGGUGUUUACUUCCUGUUGCCUUCGGGUGUUUAUAUUCUGUACUGUACCCCGCGGAACGUUUAGUGAAGCGUGUGGUUCGCAUGCCUAGCCGUUAACGCAAACCCUGAGUCCGCAUCGGAGUACGGCCGAACUUCGUUUCGGGUAGCUUAGUCGGGUGGCCCCCCUAGGCAUUCUUGUAGAUCUGGGAACGGUCUUGUUGUGAGACUCCACCGUGAUCAAGCGGGUUCGAGCAUGCGUGUAUGGUAACAUUGGUGCACCCCUGCAGGGUUAAAUCUUAUCGAUAAGCCGUGUCCGCGGUUAUGGACGACUUGGAGCUGUUUAACUCGAUCAUAGAACAACUUACACCUAAAGUUGUCGCUAAUAACUUGCUAAUUACUUGCGUAGUAAGUUAGCCCUAUUAUAAUGGAAUGAUAUAAAAUUGUCAACUGUGUGAGUGCCUUGUUAGUACCUCUUGGCUAAGGGGGAUCGCAAUGGCAGGGUUUUGAUUGCAGAGUAUAGAACUGCUAGAAUAUGCGCUCUCUCACCUUCUCUAUUAGACGGAAUUUGUAGCGUGUCUCUAUUGGUUAGUGCUUUGCUGCCGCUAAACUCCACCAUAUAGCCGGGCGAAGUUUACACCGCCCACCAGCAAGCAUAGCUGGUCUUGUCUCGCAAGUACGUGCCAACGGUACUUACCCUCGUUUUUCUUCCUCUUUUUCCGGAACACGCUUUUCGACAAACAGGUACGACAGAUGAUGAGCAGUACGCAGGUGGAUACUUUGUCGAGUUCACGGACGACGACUUCGUUGCGUAGCAGGAUAGUUCCUAAGGCAGCAGCCUGUGGCUUGUUGGUUAUGGAAACACCGCUUGAUUAUCUUCAGGACUCUUAGUCCAAUUUGGAUCUUGUCUGUACCCAGACUAUUUGGCUAUCUUAUGUAUGAUAUACUGAUGGGAUAUGUUUCCCCGUUGAGUGUCAUUUGGAUCUUGCUCAUUAGAGCGUUGCUAUAUAUAUGAACCUUUAUUUC